GUAGGGGGCAAGCGUUGUCCGGAUUUAUUGGGCGUAAAGCGCGUGUAGGCGGUCAGGCAGGUCUGACGUGAAAUCUCGAGGCUCAACCUCGAUCGGUCGUUGGAAACCACCUGGCUAGAGUCCGGAAGAGGAGAGUGGAAUUCCUGGUGUAGCGGUGAAAUGCGCAGAUAUCAGGAAGAACACCGAUGGCGAAGGCAGCUCUCUGGGACGGUACUGACGCUGAGACGCGAAAGCGUGGGGAGCGAACAGGAUUAGAUACCCUGGUAGUCCACGCCGUAAACGAUGGGUGCUAGGUGUGGGCGGUGUCGACUCCGUCCGUGCCGAAGCUAACGCAUUAAGCACCCCGCCUGGGGAGUACGGCCGCAAGGCUA
rnacentral:rRNA from 1 species